rnacentral:rRNA from 1 species
CCUACGGGAGGCAGCAGUAGGGAAUAUUGGGCAAUGGAGGCAACUCUGACCCAGCCAUGCCGCGUGCAGGAUGAAGGCGUUAUGCGUUGUAAACUGCUUUUAUAUAGGAAGAAAGAGUUCUUGCGAGAACAGUUGACGGUACUAUAUGAAUAAGCACCGGCUAACUCCGUGCCAGCAGCCGCGGUAAUACGGAGGGUGCAAGCGUUGUCCGGAUUUAUUGGGUUUAAAGGGUGCGUAGGCGGUUUAUUAAGUCAGUGGUGAAAGACGGUCGCUCAACGAUUGCAGUGCCAUUGAUACUGGUAGACUUGAGUGAGAUUGAGGUAGCUGGAAUGGAUAGUGUAGCGGUGAAAUGCAUAGAUAUUAUCCAGAACACCAAUUGCGUAGGCAAGUUACUAAGUCUUAACUGACGCUGAGGCACGAAAGUGUGGGUAUCAAACAGGAUUAGAUACCCUGGUAGUCCACACUGUAAACGAUGAUAACUAACUGUUGGCUUUCGGGUCAGUGGUACAGAGAAAUCGUUAAGUUAUCCACCUGGGGAGUACGCCGGCAACGGUGAAACUCAAAGUAGUAGUACGGCGUGAGAGAGCGACGAGACGACGACGGAGGGAGGAGG